rnacentral:rRNA from 1 species
AUACGUAGGGUGCAAGCGUUAAUCGGAAUUACUGGGCGUAAAGCGUGCGCAGGCGGUUUUGUAAGACAGAGGUGAAAUCCCCGGGCUCAAACUGGGAACUGCCUUUGUGACUGCCAGGCUAGAGUACGGCAGAGGGGGAUGGAAUUCCGCGUGUAGCAGGGAAAUGCGUAGAUAUGCGGAGGAACACCGAUGGCGAAGGCAAUCCCCUGGGCCUGUACUGACGCUCAUGCACGAAAGCAUGGGGAGCAAACAGGAUUAGAUACCCUGGUAGUCCACGCCCUAAACGAUGUCAACUGGUUGUUGGGUCUUCAUUGACUCAGUAACGAAGCUAACGCGUGAAGUUGACCGCCUGGGGAGUACGGCCGCAAGGUUGAAACUCAAAUGAAUUGACGGGG